GGACGUAUUAGCCUCUCCCCAAGUAACUUUAGGCUUGAUUUGGUGGCUAGAGUCACGUUGACAUCGUGGAGGUCACAGGUUCGAGUCCCGUUACGUCCA
rnacentral:tRNA from 1 species